GCAUUUCAGAGACUGCGGAGAUUGUGGGAUAGCUGGUAGUCCCUCAGUACCAUCCUCCGCUCCCUCCAUGAGCGCCAUUGAUCUUGGCUUUCCGUUA